GCCUUACACAUGCAAGUCGAACGGUAACAGGAAGCAGCUUGCUGCUUCGCUGACGAGUGGCGGACGGGUGAGUAAUGUCUGGGAAACUGCCUGAUGGAGGGGGAUAACUACUGGAAACGGUAGCUAAUACCGCAUAACGUCGCAAGACCAAAGAGGGGGACCUUCGGGCCUCUUGCCAUCGGAUGUGCCCAGAUGGGAUUAGCUAGUAGGUGGGGUAACGGCUCACCUAGGCGACGAUCCCUAGCUGGUCUGAGAGGAUGACCAGCCACACUGGAACUGAGACACGGUCCAGACUCCUACGGGAGGCAGCAGUGGGGAAUAUUGCACAAUGGGCGCAAGCCUGAUGCAGCCAUGCCGCGUGUAUGAAGAAGGCCUUCGGGUUGUAAAGUACUUUCAGCGGGGAGGAAGGCGAUAAGGUUAAUAACCUUGUCGAUUGACGUUACCCGCAGAAGAAGCACCGGCUAACUCCGUGCCAGCAGCCGCGGUAAUACGGAGGGUGCAAGCGUUAAUCGGAAUUACUGGGCGUAAAGCGCACGCAGGCGGUCUGUCAAGUCGGAUGUGAAAUCCCCGGGCUCAACCUGGGAACUGCAUUCGAAACUGGCAGGCUAGAGUCUUGUAGAGGGGGGUAGAAUUCCAGGUGUAGCGGUGAAAUGCGUAGAGAUGCUGGAGGAAUACCGGUGGCGAAGGCGGCCCCCUGGACAAAGACUGACGCUCAGGUGCGAAA
rnacentral:rRNA from 1 species